CUCCAAGCAAAGAGGUGAGAAGGUGCUGUGGUACCCGCCGUGCUGAGGCAUUUCCCUCACACUGAGUUUGCUUAGGGUUGGCUUUGCUUUUUCCUUCUCCUGUGGAGGGGAAAAGAGUGGAAGGCUACCAAGUCCAAAGGCAGUGAGGUGCCAGAACGUGUAACCCUGUCUCUUCCCGUUAACUCCAUGGUGGUCUUCUGCACAUCCCCCUGGAAAUGUCAUUCACUGGGAGGCUUCCUAGUCCCAUUUCCUCUUUCUUUUUGCUGCCUUCUGCUUGUACGGCCAUGGAUGUUUCUGCCGUUUCACUGUAGACAAAAUGAAUUCAUCUCUUUUUCUUGCCUUACAGAAAGAAGACGACAACGAAAGGAGAGGAGAGUGGAGCUGAAGAAGGCUGCCCUCAGAGCUGCCGCUGCACGUGCAGAGGUGAGUCCUUGGUGAACACAGACACGGCUCUUCUUGUUCUCAGGGCCUCCGUCUGUCACACAUGAAAGGAAGAGAGUGUAAAAUCCCGAGGGAAGUGGUGUCCUGUUUCUACCCUCGCUCCGUUUCUUCCCAGGCCUCCGCAGUGGACAGCCUUGUGGAGAUGAUGCAGAAGCUGCAGCUGAAGGACUGAGAGGAGGAGCGUCAGCAGGCAGCAGCUUCUGCAGUGCGCGGCGUUACAGGGCAGCGCUGAGUGCCGCCCAUCUCAGCACUCCACCUUCAAACGAAGUCAAUAAAAACCAGUCAAAUUUAUAGAUUCACAGAGUGCGAAAGGCCUGAUUUGUCCAGCGGCACUCGGAGAGCUGCUGCACCACCUCCUCGUUAUUGGUCUCGCGGCGCUCGCUCAGAACUGCCACAGCUCCGUCAGCGAAUGCUGUCGUCCAGUGAUGCAACGGAGGCAGCAGUCCUUUGCACUGCCCACAGACAGACUGUCUGCAAAGCACAUGCAAAGAGCUGCAGGGAACAAAGCCUGGCCAUGAGCGUGCUAACUUGGAGAGCAACGCUGUGGAGAUUGCUGAGUUUCCCAGGGCAGCACCGAGCGUUUUUUGCUGUGAUGACGGGUGUACAAUGAGCAAAGUUCAGCAAAAGGACGGCGUUUUCUGAAAAAAUGACAGGCUGUUGGUCCAGAGGAGCAUCUCUGCAGCUUAGGACCACCAGGCUGCCAUCCCGGCACUGUUCUGCUUGCAGACAGCGCUCCAUGUUGUGGCACUCAGAGGGCGUCCCUCUGCCGCGCAGCCCUCCCCAGUGUCUGCCUGCCUGUCACUGCUCCAGAUGGGAUGGAGCUGUUUCCUUUGCAGUGCCUCCCAUGGCGCUGUGUUCACAAGCGUGCACCCCAUCCCUCUGCACACCCACGAGCACGAAGACUCGAGCACUGCUCCAGCCUUGCACACUGCCAUGUGCAUGCACACAGAUGCAAAACUUUCACCUGCAAGCACUGUGCACACAGCGACGUGCAAUGCAUGCUCUGAUGUUCAGCCCCACCUCUGCACACCCCCGUAUGCACGCAUACCUGCACUCACAGCUCGAGGACAAAAUGCUGCUGGCACGGCACAGCCAACACGCAGGCGGUGGGUAAUGUCAGGAGGAAAGGCGCCCCCUUACGCUCAUUCAUUCUCCUCUCUUGAAUGAAUGCAUCGGGGCACAGCUGAAGCCCCAUCCUGAGAUGUGGAUUGAUGUGGGGUUCCUCAUCGGUGGGAUAUGGGGAUCCUGGGAUGGUGAUGGCGGUCCUCUCAGAAACUGUGGGAGUCCGAGAAGCAGGGGGGGGGGCUGAGGGUGUAAGGGAUAUCUGAGAAAGGAAAUAGGGGGGUUCAGCGGGAGCUCAGAGGGGGACGUGGGUUGCUGCUGGGGACUGUGGGGCUCUGUGAGGUCCCAGGUUUCCGGGGGGAGGUGUACUGGGAAAAGGUUUUUGAGGAGCUAUGGGGCUCUGUGGGGGCCGUGGGGGGGAUAUAGGGACAUUGGGGGAUAUGGGGACACAGCCUUCAGGAGCAGAAUGCUGUUCAGGAGAAGACAAGACGUGAGCUGCAGGUGGGACACAGGGGUAUGGGGUAGUAUGGGGACAUAGAGAGUAUGGGAGGAUGUGGGGAGCAGUUUGAGGUAAAAAGAGGUUGGGGGGGGCAGUGUUGGAGUGGUUUCAUUUCAUCCUGAGAGGAGACUGGGCGUCCCUGUGGCCCAAAAGUGGGGCCCUGAGUCGUAACCCCACAUGAGACAUAACCCAAGAUAACCUCAUCGCCCUGUAUGUGCGUGACCGCAUGGCUGCACGUGACCCACAGCCCUGGGGGAACCAUACCCCCACAUGACCCUGUGACUCCCUGACUCUGCCUGCCC
rnacentral:lncRNA from 1 species